UACCUCAUUGUAGUUUUGAUUUGCAUUUAAUAAUUAGGGAUGUUGAACAUCUUUUCAUGUUCUUAUUGGCCAUCUGUAUGUCUUCUUUGGAGAAAUUAGAUGACUACAUUUAAUGAGGGAGAAACGGUCAACUUAGAAUCACCUCCAUCAACAUCAGGCAUUGUGGUUUCUCAUGACACUCAUGUUCCCAAGCUCUUACUCAGUGCCAGGCACUCUGUGCUAAGAGCUUCACUCCCAGGAAAGCCCCAUAGGAACUGUUUACUAUCCCCUUUUACAGAUGGGGAAAAUGAGGCCAAAGAGGGAAGCAAACGAGCGUCAGGGUUGAGCUGCCACAUAGCCCAUCUCAUGGCACACAUGCACUGUUCCCUCUGCCUAGAACGCCCUUCCCCACCCUUCCUGUAUUUGUUGUAUAAAUAGGAGGAUAGAUGGACCAUGAAUGAUAAUAACAACUCCCUGUCCCCAAGCCCUUUCUCUGUGCCAGGCACUGUGCUAGGUGCUUUACAUGUAUUGAUGGUCACAAGAACCUUAUGGGUGAAGAACCAGGUACAGAGAGGUUAAGUAACUCACCCAACAUCACACCAGCAGAGCUCCAACUUGCUCCCUGGCAGCUGGGGCCACAGGAUUCCCUGCUACCCCACACUGCCUGGGUGACCCCUGGCCCAUCCUACUCCCUCCCCCCUGCCCCUUGCCAACUCACUGGGGCCCAGGAAGGGGUCCUUCAUGCAGGCCAUGUGCAGACCGUGUGACCCUGGAGCUGAGUGGACACGGGCAGCAGAGCUGGAAAUGGCAGAGCUCGUGGCCCAGAGCUGGCUCCUCCUCUUGCACAGCAGGCAAGUCGCUUAACCUCUCUGUGCCUCCAAAAAACCCAUCUGAAGAAACUGAGAUAAUGACAGCACCUGCUCCCCAGGAAUGAACGGACCUGGCACGGGGCACCAGGACCUUCAGCUUACCCCUUAUAGUCUCAUCAAUGACCUUACCAGCCCUGUGAGGUAAGCGCUGGGAAUACCAUCACCUUCAUUGCUUCAGAAGAGGAGACUGCAGCCAGAGAGGUUAAGAAAUGCCCGAGGCCACACAGCCGGUGAGAGGCAGAGCUGCUGGCUGCUGGGUCCCAGGUCUUUGCCCCACGUCACCCAGGCUCUGAUGGCCUCCUUCUGGGGAUAGAGGAUGCCCUCCCUUCUCUCCAAGGUCAUCUCAUCUGAACUUCAGGGUGAGAGUAUCUCAACCUCAGCAUUCACCUUCUGGAAAAUGACUCGUGCUCUGGCCAAGAAGCUGCAGUCCUUGCCCAGGACGCGGGGCAGGUAGCAAAGCGGCCACCACGGUCAGCUGUAAGCCUUGGCCACCCACGUUGAUCACCCACCCAACGGGAAUCUCCUUUUUUUUUUUUUUUUUUAAACCAGCUUUUGGGAGCUAGAGCUCACAUUCCAUAUACUUCACACCAUCAAAGUGCACAGCGGAACGGUUUUAGUCUAUCACAGAGAAACCAUCACCACAAUCGCUUUCAGAACAUUUUCAUCACCCCCAAAUGAAAUCCUGUAUCUCGGGGCAGUCACUUCCCAUUCCCCGCCCUCACUGCCCAUCCCAGGCAACCACUAAUCUACUGUCUCUAUGGAUUUGCCUCUUCUGGACAUUUCUAGAGAUGGAGUCACAAGAAUUGUGUCUUUCGCAGGCACCUCUUUUUGAAGCCUCAUAAUCACCUCUUGCAGGAAGACUGUGUUCUCUCCAUUUUAUAGGUGAGGGAAUCGUGGCUCAGAGCGAUCAAGUAACUUGCCCAAGGUCACCCAGCUCGGGAAUGGUGGGCAGAUUUGGACCAUGUCUGUCUGGCUCCAGAGACCCCAGGCCACCCUCUUAGGCCUCAAGCCCAGAGUUGCCUGACAGCUUCAGGGGCCUGAGGUUAGGGGUUUGGGGGCAGGAGGAAGGCGGAAAGGCUAGGGGUGUUUGUGGGUGUGGAAGCCAGGGCUGGAGGGGCAGAGAGCCUAGGGGAGGCACUGGGUCCCACCACCACACAGCAGGACGCCAGGGAGGAAAGGAAACUUGCAGGAUAGGCCGCGGAGGCAGGAAGGGAGUAGGGCGGCCGAAUUCCCCCUGGGGUGGCAGUCUGCCAGCCUCCGCCCCAGCCCCGCCCUUCCCGAUGAUUGGUCCAGUCACAUCCCCCCCCCCCCUCCCGUGACUCCACUGCCACCUCCUCCCGCUCUGGAAAUAGCUCUCUGCCCCCUUGCUCCCAGACCCGGGCCCAGUAGGAUGACUCAGCAUGAGAUCCAGAGCUGGCUGUCAUUCUGCCCCCUCCUCCGCCCCCCAACCCGUCCCGUCCCUCUCUAGCUGGAGCUCCCAGGAAGUAACUACCACCAGACCCACGGCGACUGUGCCAGGAUGGCCUCGGCCCGCACGCCCUCUGGGCCAGGCUCAUCUUCCCUCACGCCCUUCUAGUUAGGGGGGCUCUGCUCACCUUUUACUGGAAACCCCCCUUGGGGUGCAUGUAAGAACUUCAGAUCCUCUUGCAACGCUCUCUGUGUUUUUUAAGUUAUUUCUGUAUCUUGACCCCCCCAAAAACCAAAUUUUAGAAUAUGCUCUUUCAGGCUGCUCUCAGCUUUGGACCCCCAAUCUGACCCAUCCUACCAGCCCCCUUGGGAAUCACCAACUUAAUAAGUUUACCCAUUCAUGGAUGGGGAAACUAAGGUUCAGAGAGGGAAAGGGGCUUCCCCAAGGUCACUUGGCUGGGAAGGGGCAGGCUUGGAGCAUGAAUGUGUAUCCCAGUCCCCUGGAAAUGGCAUUCUGAGGGUUUGCUUUUGGGCCCAGCCUGCCAGUGUGAGGAGGGGGACUCUUGAUCCUUGGUGGCUUAAGAGUUAAAUGAUAGGGCUUCCCUGGUGGCACAGUGGUUGAGAGUUUGCCUGCCGAUGCAGGGGACACGGGUUCGUGCCCCGGUCCGGGAAGAUCCCACAUGCU